rnacentral:rRNA from 1 species
GAUGAACGCUAGCGGGAGGCCUAACACAUGCAAGCCGAGCGGUAUUGUUUCUUCGGAAAUGAGAGAGCGGCGUACGGGUGCGUAACACGUGUGCAACCUGCCUUUAUCUGGGGGAUAGCCUUUCGAAAGGAAGAUUAAUACUCCAUAAUAUAUUGAACGGCAUCGUUUAAUAUUUAAAGCUCCGGCGGAUAGAGAUGGGCACGCGCAAGAUUAGCUAGUUGGUGAGGUAACGGCUCACCAAGGCGAUGAUCUUUAGGGGGCCUGAGAGGGUGAUCCCCCACACUGGUACUGAGACACGGACCAGACUCCUACGGGAGGCAGCAGUGAGGAAUAUUGGUCAAUGGGUGCAAGCCUGAACCAGCCAUCCCGCGUGAAGGACGACUGCCCUAUGGGUUGUAAACUUCUUUUGUAUAGGGAUAAACCUACCCUCGAGAGGGUAGCUGAAGGUACUAUACGAAUAAGCACCGGCUAACUCCGUG